CUACCAAAUCCUGACAAACUCCGAAUGCCAGUAUUAUGUUUUGCAGCAGUGAGCCGCUGGGUGCUAAUGUCCGGCGACAAAAGAGGAACAACUCAGACCAUCAUCUAAGGCCCCGAAGAAUACACUAAGUUGAACUAACGAUGUGCGACUGCAGCGACAGCUAGGAUGUUAGCUUGGAAGCAGCUAUUCAUUUAAAGAGUGCGUAACAGCUCACUAGUCGAGCGGUUGUGCGUGGAUAAUAAACGGGCAUCAAGUGUAUCGCCGAAGCUAUGGACUCUACGGAGUGGUAGGGGAGCAUUCCAUCGACGCCGAAGCCGUGUCGUAAGGCAUGGUGGAGUUUAUGGAAAAGCAAAUGUAGGCAUAAGUAACGAUAAGGCGGGAGAGAAACCCGCCCACCGCAAGACCAAGGUUUCCUGAUCAACGCUAAUCGGAUCAGGGUUAGUCGGGUCCUAAGGGUAAGCCGUUAGGUGAUCUCGAUGGACAAUCGGUUAAUAUUCCGAUACCGAUGCAUACUGCGACGGAGGGACGGAGAAGCGUAAGCUGCGCCAACAUACGGAAUUGUUGGUUAAAGAGCGUAGGUAUAGGACGACGUUAAUAGCGACGUUUUGCUGAAACUCGACAGUACCGAGCGGCUACGGCCAAUCGGAUAGUCAGCCCAAGCAAGCUUCCGAGAAAAACUUCUAAGCUUCAGGUAUGCAUCGCCCGUACCGUAAACCGACACAGGUGGUCGAGGAGAGUAUCCUCAGGUGCUUGAGUGAAUCACGGAUAAGGAACUAGGCAAAUUGACCCCGUAACUUAGGGAUAAGGGGUCCCCACGUGAGUGGGGCGCAGCGAAAAGGUCCAGGCAACUGUUUAACAAAAACAUAGGGCUAUGCUAAUUCGAGAGAAGACGUAUAUGGCCUGACACCUGCCCGGUGCUGGAAGGUUAAGAGGGGAUGUUAGCGCAAGCGAAGCAUUGAAUCGAAGCCCCAGUAAACGGCGGCCGUAACUAUAACGGUCCUAAGGUAGCGAAAUUCCUUGUCGGGUAAGUUCCGACCUGCACGAAUGGUGUAAUGAUCUGGACACUGUCUCGUCCGUGAGCUCAGUGAAAUUGUAGUCCCGGUGAAGAUGCCGGGUACCCGCAACGGGACGAAAAGACCCCGUGAACCUUUACUGCAGCUUAACGCUGAAUUUGGGUGCAUGAUGUGUAGGAUAGGCAGGAGACUGUGAAGCGGUACCGCCAGUGUAUCGUGGAGUCGCCGUUGAAAUACGGCCCUUUGUGUAUUUGAAUUCUAACCCUGUUUAGGGGACACCGUUUGGUGGGUAGUUUGACUGGGGUGGUCGCCUCCAAAAGCGUAACGGAGGCUUCCCAAGGUACCCUCAGCACGAAUGGUAACCGUGCGCAGAGUGCAAUAGCAUAAGGGUGCUUGACUGCGAGACUCACAAGUCGACCAGGUGCGAAAGCAGGGC
rnacentral:rRNA from 1 species